AUAGGACGGGGGUGUAAGCACGAAGCUUCGGCGACGUGUUCAGCCCGCCGUUACUAAUCGUCCGAUCCGUUGA
rnacentral:rRNA from 1 species